rnacentral:rRNA from 1 species
UGCCACAGCCAUAUCACCCUGCAGCCCAAGACUGGUUGCCCACUGAAGCUAAGCAGGGCUGAGCCUGGUCAGUACCUGGAUGGGAGACCUCCUGGGAAAGCUAUGUUGCUGCUGGAA